UACGAGGGGGGCAAGCGUUGUUCGGCAUUAUUGGGCGUAAAGGGCGCGUAGGCGGUGCGGUAAGUCACCUGUGAAAUCUCCGAGCUCAACCCCGGAACUGCAUCCGAUACUGCGUGGCUAGAGGUAGGUAGGGGAGAUCGGAAUUCCUGGUGUAGCGGUGAAAUGCGCAGAUAUCAGGAGGAACACCGGUGGCGAAGGCGGAUCUCUGGGCCUUACCUGACGCUCAGGCGCGAAAGCUAGGGGAGCGAACAGG
rnacentral:rRNA from 1 species